UACGUAGGGGGCUAGCGUUAUCCGGAAUUACUGGGCGUAAAGGGUGCGUAGGUGGUUUUUUAAGUCAGAGGUGAAAGGCUACGGCUCAACCGUAGUAAGCCUUUGAAACUGGGGAACUUGAGUGCAGGAGAGGAGAGUGGAAUUCCUAGUGUAGCGGUGAAAUGCGUAGAUAUAUGGAGGAACACCGGUGGCGAAAGCGGCUCUCUGGCCUGUAACUGACACUGAGGCUCGAAAGCGUGGGGAGCAAACAGG
rnacentral:rRNA from 1 species